rnacentral:lncRNA from 1 species
CCCAGUUCCCAACCGCCCCCGAAUCCCCCUCUCCCUGACGGCACUCCCAGCCAGCACCGGCAAGCGGCAGUCCGGUCCUCAUCUGCGGCUUCAUCUUCCUCAACUGGCUGCAAGAACAGAGCAGUCCUCCAAUGUAUGUUUUUGAUUCUUCACCUCUUCUUGUUUAGAUCAAUGCUUUGCCUUUGGCCCUUUGCUGCUUUUCGUUU